rnacentral:misc_RNA from 1 species
UGGUUCUGGCAUCGAUGAAGAACGCAGCGAAAUGCGAUAAGUAAUGUGAAUUGCAGAAUUCAGUGAAUCAUCGAAUCUUUGAACGCACAUUGCGCCCUCUGGUAUUCCGGGGGGCAUGCCUGUUCGAGCGUCAUUACACCCUUCAAGUUCCUGCUUGGUGUUGGGCUCUCGCAUCCUCACCGGUUGCGGGCCUGAAAAUCAGUGGCGGCAGCCUAGGGCUUUCAAGCGUAGUAGUUUAUUUUCGUUUGGAAAUCCCUAGGUCUUGUCCCGCCAGGCAAAGCCUAUAUCUCCUAGAAUUUGACCUCGGAUCAGGUAGGGAUACCCGCUGA